UGCACAAUAGCUCAGUGGUAAGAGCACCACAGCACAAUUACAGGAGGUUGCUGGUUCAAUUCCAUCUUGUGCCA
rfam:Neolentinus lepideus HHB14362 ss-1 unplaced genomic scaffold NEOLEscaffold_126, whole genome shotgun sequence.